UCUCAAUCAAGGUGUAGCCAUCACAGAGACGUGGCGAGACUAACAGAUGCGAUGGUGAUGGGAUCUAAAAUAUGCGAUGUGUGACGAAGAAACAGUCAAAAGGCUUUUGAUUUCUUGGAGGCAAAUAAAAAAUCAUAGGUGAUGGAGAUGCUUCUGGAUGAUGGCCAGACGUACCAACAAGUUUGGCUUCACCAAGCAGGAACAAUGAUUGUAUUGGUUUCAAACAAUAAAACCAAUUCCAACAAUAGGUUUCAGUUUCUUGAUUCGAUUUUCUGGUUGUAAUUCUUAUAUGUUUUCAGAUAAUGAAUCAUCUUGAUUUCUCUACUACUAGACUAUGUUCAUCUCCAUUUGAUUUCAAUUAAAUAAAGCUAGAUUUGUUGGG